UACGUAGGUGGCAAGCGUUGUCCGGAAUUACUGGGCGUAAAGAGCUCGUAGGUGGUUUGUCGCGUUGUCCGUGAAAACUCACAGCUCAACUGUGGGCGUGCGGGCGAUACGGGCAGACUGGAGUACUGCAGGGGAGACUGGAAUUCCUGGUGUAGCGGUGGAAUGCGCAGAUAUCAGGAGGAACACCGGUGGCGAAGGCGGGUCUCUGGGCAGUAACUGACGCUGGAGGAGCGAAAGCGUGGGGAGCGAACAGG
rnacentral:rRNA from 1 species